AGCAACUUGCUGAAGUUCACAUGGCCUGUAAGUGUCAGAACUGGGAUUCGGACCUGAUGCCAACUCCCUCCAAAGCCUGACAUUUAUAGCUUCACUCUAGGCUUCCCAAUGAAAUUUAUGAAUAUUUAACGGUGGGGGCAGACAUAUCAUAAUGGUUGUAGAUUACUUUUAAUUGCGGAGAUCAACGUUAAAAGAAGUAACCUGCAAUUAUGUGUUGGAGAUUAAAAGCAUCAACUCUAGCAGAUGAACAUCUUUAAAAGUUCCUCUGCCGAUGCUUCCUUUUUACUGAAACCCAGCUUGAAGACACUGGGUAAGAGAAGCCUUGAUCAGGGUUCAUGAAGAUCAGCUUCUGCGGAGCAAGAGAAGCAGAGACUGCAUUUGGAGGGGAAUGAAUUUACCUACAGAGGUAUACAUAGAUUUCUGGAUGGUGCUAGAUGGAUGGAGCACUGCUCUGCCACAGGCCAGUCAUGUCUGAUCGCCCAUCCUCACCAGCUUCAGUCCAGGCCAGGUUCUUGGCCUUGAGUGGGGUUUCAUCUGAUUCAUGCCUGGAUUAUAGUCACUCACGCACGACACCUAGACCAGUCAGAUGUUCAGCAAUAAAACAUGCCUAUACGGGGAAAGGAUUUUCUACCUGGCAAUAUAUAUAUUUUCACUUCUUCAAAAUAUAAAUUAAAAAGAUAGCCAAUAUAUGUCUGAAGUUAACCAGGUAACAUUAUCUACUUUGCAAGUCAGAAGAUAAAUUUUAGAAAGAGGGCAAUAGCUCUACAUGCAAAGACUAAUCUGGAAGCAGACAGAUGGCAUUGCAAAAGAAGGCCAUCCACACACGUUUCCUUGAAUGAACAAGAUGUUUUGCUUGUGCCUUGUUUGGUGACUUGAACUACUGCUGCAAAGGGCAUGUUCACAAACUUGAGACAAGCAGGAAAACAAAUUUAGAAAAAUUAGUAAAUGUAAAGAUCACCGUGAAAGUACUACCUAGGACCUAAAAUGAACAAAACAAAACAAACUCUUUCUAUUGUGUGAGUUUUUGCAACUAAAAUGCUUUUUAAAUGAAUCUAAAAGAUCUAUAACAAUUUUAGAUUUUUAGGAUAGUGACAUGAGGUAUGUAUUACAAACAACAUAUGUUGUUGGGUUGUUGUUUCUUUUCUUUUUUUUUUUUUUUAAGUAUUUUACAGUUUCUUGGCCAUAUUGUCCUCUAAAAAGAUGUGAUAAACUACACAUGACAUAAAUUGUGCCAUUUUGGUCAUUUUUAAGGGUACAAUUUGGUGGCAUGAAGUACAUUCACAUUAUUAUGCAACCAUCACCACCAUUUAUCCUCAGAACUCUUGCAUAUUCCCCAACUAAAAACUCUGCUUAUUGAACAGCAAUUUCCCAUUACUCCCCUAGCCCACUCCCUUGAAACUCCACCAUUCCACUUUCUGUCUCUAUGACUUACACUACUUUAGGAACCUCAUAAGAAGCUCUUUAGUGACUGGCUAUUAUGUUUUUUAGGUCUAUUCAUGAUACAGCAGGUAUCCCAAUUUUCUUUAUCCAUUCCUGUGUCAAGGGGUACUUGGGUUGCUUCUAUCUUUUGGCUAUUAUGAAUAAUAAUGUUGCUCUGAACAGGAAUGUACAAAUACCUAUUUGAGUCCUGGAACUGGAAUUGUUGAAUCAUAUGAUAAUCUUAUGUUUCAUUUUUCCAGUAUCUGUCACACAAUUUUCCAGAGCUGCUGCACCAUUUUACAUCCAAUCAAUAGUGCACUAGGGCUACAAUUUCUCCAUGUCUUCACUAACACUUGUUAUUUUAUUUUUUGUUGUGUUUAAUUAAUGGCCAUUCUAGUGGAUGUGAAGAGGUAUUUUAUUGUGGUUGUAUUUCUUUUUAUAGGAUUUUCACCCAGUAGCAACCAACUGACAAGAACUGACCAAAACCAAGCUUAUGACAUUUUCUUCAUCCUUUCUCACCCUAACUUUUAGGUUUACAGACAUUUCUUUCUAUAGUUAGAAUUCCAGAGAUCUAUAUGAUUAUAAAUUGAGGUCAAGAUUCCAUUUAGUAGGUAACAAAACAAACUCAGUUUGUGGAAAUUAAACACAGUCAACAUGUGUAGGUCUGAUUUCAAAGGUAUUCUAUUAUUAUCUAUCAUAGGCAUUGUGGAAAUUAAUUUUGAAAAUACACAAAUUUCUAACAUAAGAUUCUUCCUUGAUAGGGGUCCUCUUAAAUAAAAUAUCAUAAUUUUGACAGUUAAUUAUGAACUAGAAAUAUGCAGAUUAAAAUGACUUUGGACAUCAGGAAAGCAUUUGGUAUAUUUUAUCUGAAAGGAGCUCUGCAUGAGUCCGUCUGUUUCAUGAACAAAUUAGUCAAAAGAUAAAUGACUUAAUUUUGCUCCUUUCCUGCCUCAGGCUUUUUAAAAUAUCUCAGGUGGUCUAAUGGAAUUGGGCAACAACAUGGAAUUUAAUAGAAUAUUAUUUGCCUGGUUACCAUUCUUACUGUUAUUGACAUAUAAUUGAAAAAUACAAAGUAAGAAUUUUCUCCAAUUGUGUAAAAAAUUACAUUUCCUUUUUUUGUUUCCUCAUGAAAUCCAAAGUCAUAAUAACCUCCAUUUUGUAAUUGCAGGUUAAAUUGAAACUGAUGAAUUUAUUAAUGUUGAUUACUUAAUAAGUAACCAAAUUGUUUUUCUAUUUUAUUUGUAUUUUAAAUCUUUGGAAUGACAAUUUUCAAAAAUACAUUGGCUCAGAGUAUUUUACAUCUUACUUGAACAAUUGCACUACAUUGUUUGUGUUCCUUAAAGUUGCAUAAUUUUAAAAUAUUUGGACUAAGAGGAAACAAAGAAACUAACCAAACCUGCACAUUAAUUUUGAAGAAGCAAGAAUUGAUUCCUAGAAAAAUUAGACUUACUCAACAUGGGCUCCCUGGUUAAUUCAUAUAGGCUUGGAUUAAACUUCUGACUGGUCAGGUAGUAAUCGGUUUGUUAUCCACUUUAUAUCAACUGUCAUGCCACAGCCCCAUUGCAAAAACGGCUACAUAAGGUAGACGAUUAGGUAAAUAAAUUCAAGUAUUGGUUUAUUUAUUAAUACUGAACUGCUUUUGUUGGAAACCUUUCUAAAAUGUGUUUGGUUUCUUGUCCUUAAUUGAUGUACAAAAAAACCAAAAAAGAUUGUAACAUUCAUUCUGUGUGAUGAUUUCUAUAUUAUGUUGUUUCAGAAAAUCGGGUUUUUUACUCAAAUCCACAUUCCCCAUUCUGGUAUAGAGGAAGGCUCUGUGACAAAUGUUUAGGUGCUGAAAGUUUUUCCCCCCACUCUCUGUGAUGAAGAUGGCAUAAAACUAGACCUCUGAAUGAAUGAGUUAUUCCUUAAAUUGUAACUAAGAAAACUUAUUGCCUUCUUUUUUUUAAAACAUCAAUUAUGGACACUGAAUCAUUAUUCAUAUUUAGCAUCCCAAGGAAAUGGGUUUAAGACAGAAAAGCCUUCUUCAUUUGCUGAUUGUUGUUAUUACCCUCCUAAACACUGUCCACAUCUAUCUUACCUUUAAAUAUGUCAAAACUUCUUAAAAUUGGAAUUUACUGAACCUAAUAAAAUGAAAUAAA